ACUCCUGCGGGAGGCAGCAGUGGGGAAUUUUGGACAAUGGGCGAAAGCCUGAUCCAGCCAUGCCGCGUGUGUGAAGAAGGCCUUCGGGUUGUAAAGCACUUUUGUCCGGAAAGAAAUCCUUGGCUCUAAUACAGUCGAGGGAUGACGGUACCGGAAGAAUAAGCACCGGCUAACUACGUGCCAGCAGCCGCGGUAAUACGUAGGGUGCGAGCGAUAAUCGGAAUUACUGGGCGUAAAGCGUGCGCAGGCGGUUUGCUAAGACCGAUGUGAAAUCCCCGGGCUCAACCUGGGAACUGCAUUGGUGACUGGCAGGCUAGAGUAUGGCAGAGGGGGGUAGAAUUCCACGUGUAGCAGUGAAAUGCGUAGAGAUGUGGAGGAAUACCGAUGGCGAAGGCAGCCCCCUGGGCCAAUACUGACGCUCAUGCACGAAAGCGUGGGGAGCAAACAGGAUUAGAAACCCCAGUAGUCCCAUGA
rnacentral:rRNA from 1 species